CUUAUUCUCCACCAAGUAAUGACUGGAAAAAACCACACCGAUGAAGCAUGUUCACUGCUAACAAGCUGCUACGAAAUUUUUUUGUGGGGGCAACGAGGACAGCAGAGCUGCCUACGGGGAGGUCUCAGCUGUGGAGCUCCCACCUGAGGUCAACAUGGCGACCUCAGAGCGACAGCUUGAGGCGGCUGAGGAGGCCGUCCUGCUGCCCUGCCCGGCCGAGGAGGCCGCCCUGCUGUCCAGCCCAGCCGAGGAGGCCGUCCUGCUGCCCUGCACAGCUGAGGAAGCUGUCCUGCUGUCCAGCCCAGCCAAGGAGGUCAUCCCGCUGCCCUGCACAGCCGAGGAAGCUGUCCUGAUGCCCUGCCCAGCCGAGGAGGCCGCCCAGCCCUCCAGUCCUGCUGGGGAUGCCGCCCAGCCCUCCAGUCCUGCUGGGGACGCCGCCCAGCAUUCCGGUCCCGCUAGGGACACCGCCCAGCAUUCCAGCCCCGCUGGGGACGCUGCCCAGCGUUCCAGUGCCGUCGGGGGUGGCGCCCAGCGUUUCAGUUCCAGAGCCGCCGGGGGCAGCGUCCUGCUUCCAGAGCUGGCGCCCAGCGUUCCAGAGCCGUCAGGUGCGGCGCCUAGUGUUUCUGUUCCAGAGCCGGCGCCCUGAAUUCCAGAGCCGGCGCCCUGCGUUCCAGAGCCGCCGGGCGCGGCGUCCUGUAUUCCAGAGCCGGCACUCUGCUUUCCAGAGCCGGCGCCCUGCAUUCCAGAGCCGCCGGAGUCGGCGCCCUGUGUUCCAGAGCCGCCGGGGGUGGUUCUCCGACUUCCAACCCCAGUGGGGGUGUUGCCCCGCCCCUCUGCUGCCCUACGGAGGCUGCCUCACUUUCCGUGGCAGCGAGAGACAGCUCGCACAGGGGCCCAGGACCCCCAUUGGAGGGGGGUUCUUGGUGCUCCAGGAGGAGCACCCUUUGGAGGGGGGUUCUGUUACGCCACGGCUAGCAGAGGGCACUGGCUCGGCUCCUGACGAGUCACAUGACAUUGUUUUGGUUCGCUCGCUUCUGGAUUGAGCAUUUCAUAUUAAGUGACUUUAAUUUGCCCUAGGUGUCCAUGCUUUGAGUGAAUCAUGUUCUUUAUUUAAAUGCCUGGGUGACUGAGCACGUCGCUCAGUAUUAUAUGGUGGCUUUAGUUGAUCCUGGUUAGUAUUGUUUGGAUCAGUAGUCUCUUUGUUUUCCAUGCCUCGAAUGUUCUCGUUUCCCG
ensembl:lncRNA